GCCUGGCUGGCUCAGUCAGUGGAGCAUGUGACUCUCGAUCUCAGGGUCAUGAGUUCAAGCCCCAUGUCGGGUG
rnacentral:tRNA from 2 species